UCAUUCGAUGAGCCGAGACGAUAAGUCCC
rnacentral:piRNA from 1 species